GUAGGUGGCAAGCGUUGUCCGGAAUUAUUGGGCGUAAAGCGCGCGCAGGCGGUCCUUUAAGUCUGAUGUGAAAGCCCACGGGCUCAACCGUGGAGGGUCAUUGGAAACUGGGGGACUUGAGUACAGAAGAGGAAAGCGGGAUUCCAAGUGUAGCGGUGAAAUGCGUAGAGAUUUGGAGGAACACCAGUGGCGAAGGCGGCUUUCUGGUCUGUAACUGACGCUGAGGCGCGAAAGCGUGGGGAGCAAACAGGAUUAGAUACCCUGGUAGUCCACGCCGUAAACGAUGAGUGCUAAGUGUUAGGGGGUUUCCGCCCCUUAGUGCUGCAGCUAACGCAUUAAGCACUCCGCCUGGGGAGUACGGCCGCAAAGGCUGA
rnacentral:rRNA from 1 species